AACGAACGCUGGCGGCAUGCCUAACACAUGCAAGUCGAACGAGACCUUCGGGUCUAGUGGCGCACGGGUGCGUAACGCGUGGGAACCUGCCCUUAGGUUCGGAAUAACUCCCCGAAAGGGGUGCUAAUACCGGAUAAUGUCUUCGGACCAAAGAUUUAUCGCCUUUGGAUGGGCCCGCGUUGGAUUAGCUAGUUGGUAGGGUAAAAGCCCACCACGGCGACGAUCCAUAGCUGGUCUGAGAGGAUGAUCAGCCACACUGGGACUGAGACACGGCCCAGACUCCUACGGGAGGCAGCAGUGGGGAAUAGUGGACAAUGGGCGAAAGCCUGAUCCAGCAAUGCCGCGUGAGUGAUGAAGGCCUUAGGGUUGUAAAGCUCUUUUACCCGGGAUGAUAAUGACAGUACCGGGAGAAUAAGCUCCGGCUAACUCCGUG
rnacentral:rRNA from 1 species